GAAAUUUUAAAAAGGGGAAAUUAAAAAUUUGUGGGAAAAAUUUAAAAAAAUUCUGGGGAAAAUUAAAAAAAAAGGGGGGGAUGAGUUUUAGGGUUUUUGGGAUGGAUUUUUGGGGUUUUUUGGGAUGGAUUUGGGGUGGAUUUUUGGGGUUUUUGGGAUGGAUUUUUGGGGUUUUUUGGGAUGGAUUUUUGGGGGUUUUGGGUUGGAUUUUGGGAUGGAUUUUUGGGGUUUUUGGGAUGGAUUUGGGGUGGAUUUUUGGGGUUUUUGGGAUGGAUUUUUGGGGUUUUUUGGGAUGGAUUUUUGGGGGUUUUGGGUUGGAUUUUGGGAUGGAUUUUUGGGGUUUUUGGGAUGGAUUUGGGGUGGAUUUUUGGGGUUUUUGGGAUGGAUUUUUGGGGUUUUUGGUAUGGAUUUUUGGGGAUUUUGGGGUGGAUUUUGAGGUUUCCAGCCCCACGUACCCGCGGCCAUGAAGAGGAUGCCGGGAUGGAUUUUGGGAUGGAUUUGGGAUGGAUUUUCGGGGGUUUUGGGAUGGAUUUUUGGGGUUUCCGGCCCCACGUACCCACAGCCACGAAGAGGAUGCCGGGAUGGAUUUUGGGGUGGAUUUGGGAUGGAUUUUUGGGUUUUUUGGGAUGGAUUUUUGGGAUGGAUUUUUGGGAUGGAUUUUCGGGGUUUUUUGGGAUGGAUUUUCGGGGAUUUUGGGAUGGAUUUUUGGGGUUUCCGGCCCCACGUACCCGCGGCCACGAAGAGGAUGCCGGGAUGGAUUUUGGGAUGGAUUUGGGAUGGAUUUUUGGGGGUUUUGGGUUGGACAUUUGGGAUGGAUUUUUGGGGUUUUUUGGGAUGGAUUUUCGGGGAUUUUGGGGUGGAUUUUUGGGGUUUCCGGCCCCACGUACCCGCGGCCACGAAGAGGAUGCCGGCGCCGAGCACGAGGCUGGUCCUGGCCCGCUGCAGGCGCGAGGCGGCCACGCAGAGCCCCCCCAGCAGCAGCAGCACCGCGCUCAGGAUCGGGAAGAUGCUCGAGGCCCGGACCACACCUGCGGAGCCAAACCGGCCAAUCAGGGCUCAGCACGCCUCGCCCGCGGCCAAUGGCAGCACAGGGGGCUGGCGGCCAAUCAGAGCCCAGGGUUGAAAAGGGAUCUGGGAGUUCUGACCAAUCAGAGCUCGGCAUUGAAAAGGGAUCUGGGAGUUCUGACCAAUCAGAAAAAAGCAUUGAAAAGGGAACCGCGAGUUCUGACCAAUUAGAGCUCAGCAUUGAAAAGGGAUCCGUGAGUUCUGACCAAUCAGAGCCCAGCAUUGAAAAGGGAUCCGGGAGUUCUGACCAAUCAGAGAUCGACAUUGAAAAGGGAUCCGAGAGUUCUGACCAAUCAGAGCCCGGCUUUGAAAAGGGAUCCGGGAGUUCUGCCCAAUCAGAGACCAGCACUGAAAAGGGAUCUGGGAGUUCUGACCAAUCAGGAAAAAGCAUUGAAAAGGGAUCCGGGAGNNNNNNNNNNAUCAGGAAAAAGCAUUGAAAAGGGAUCCGGGAGUUCUGACCAAUCAGAGCCCGGCGUUGAAAAGGGAUCCGGGAGUUCUGGCCAAUCAGAAAACAGCAUUGAAAAGGGAACUGGGAGUUCUGACCAAUCAGAGCCCGGCAUUGAAAAGGGAUCCGGGAGUUCUGACCAAUCAGAGCUCAGCAUUGAAAAGGGAUCCGGGAGUUCUGACCAAUCAGAAAACAGCAUUGAAAAGGGAUCCGGGAGUUCUGACCAAUCAGAGCUCAGUGUUGAAAAGGGAUCCAGGAGUUCUGACCAAUCAGAGCUCAGCAUUGAAAAGGAAACCGGGAGUUCUGGCCAAUCAGAGCCCAGCAUUGAAAAGGG
rnacentral:lncRNA from 1 species